rnacentral:misc_RNA from 1 species
UACGAACCGUACGAACGUUAUUCGGAAUUACUGGGCUUAAAGAGUGCGUAGGCGGCGCGGAAAGUUGGGUGUGGAAUCCCUCGGCUCAACCGAGGAACUGCGCUCAAAACUACCGUGCUCGAGGGAGACAGAGGUGAGCGGAACUGAUGGUGGAGCGGUGAAAUGCGUUGAUAUCAUCAGGAACACCAGUGGCGAAGGCGGCUCACUGGGUCUCUUCUGACGCUGAGGCACGAAAGCUAGGGGAGCGAACGGG